AGAGGGGAAGGCCAUGUGAAGGCAGAGAAUGGAGUGACGCAGCCACAAACCAAGCAAUGCCUGGAGCCACCAGAAGCUGGAAGAGGCAAGGAAGGGACUCUUCUUCAGAGGGAGCAGGGCCCUGCCCACACCUUAGCUUCAGACUUCUAGCCUCCAGAACUGGGAGAGAAGAAAUGUCUGUUGUUUGAAGCCACCCAGCUGUGGCACUUUAUUACGGCAGCACGGGAAAUGCAUACAGCCUCCAAAAGAGAACGAAGCCCUUCUGAGAGCUUGAUUCCAGACAUGCAAGACCCUGAGCCCACCGCGCCUGGGUUUCUGCCUACAGAACUGUGAGAUAAUCCAUGGUUGUUUUACGCCACUCCAAUUGCAAUAAGACAGUGAGGAUGUCAUGUGAGUGACCAGCAAGGCAUGUGGCCCAACCAGACAGCCAGGGAAGGCCUUUAACGAGUAACUUGAGGCUGAGAGUGAGGUGGUGAGUUGUGGAGAAAGUCCCAGCUCAGGGUUCACUGUGGACCAACAGCUCUUUACUGUGGGGUACUACCUUCCUGGAGAAUUUCCUGGAGAGUAUAAGGCCUGACGUGGGCCUUCAAAUAUCUCAACAAGAACAAUAAAUCCCUCCAGAAAACCAUAUUACUCCACUUUCUUUCCAAAGGAAAUUCAAGUCUGUUGAAAUGCUUGCUCUAAAACAGUUUCCAGUGAUAUUAAACAAAUUCGUGGCUCUCAGAAUACCUUGGGUGAUGAUCAAUAAGAGUUGUAUGUGCUUUACAUGCUGAUAAUCACACCUAACCCACAGCAUUUGUCUGAUGCCUAAGUGGGCUCAGAUUUGCCCAAGGCUCUGGUCCAAGGACCUCUGAGGGACACAGCCUCGUCACUCAGACAGGAGAGCCCAACUCAGUGACAAACAAAGGCCAAGGGAUUCUGCACAUGAAGACAAAACAGAGUCUUCCUUCUCAACUAGAGAAUGGCUUAUCUAAGAAAAAAAUCAACUGGAGAGAAAAAAAAAGUGAGGAUGUCAGCAUUUAACAGGAAUCUUGAAACUUUGACAGGAAGGGUGACCCUUUUCGGUCAAUCUGAAAUGUAUGCAGACAGGUCACAGAUAUAUUCCAAAUACAUUUUUUUAAUUGCUAAAUAUGUUUAAAGAAGAUUUUUAAAAUAAAACUCA
rnacentral:lncRNA from 10 species